GCUUAUUCUGCUUGGCGUGCGACGUGACAAAAGUCGUGUCGCAUGUGUCACCCGAUUCCCGUAGGCGGAUGCGGUGACAAGAGUCGGUGUGGGUGAACACCGAUGAACUCUCACCGCAUUCCCACAGUCGCUUCAGAUCGACAAAUGUCGCAUUCAAGUGACGUUUUGAUGUGAGGAUUGUCGUGACCUCGGGAGGAGUCGACAGCGAAGGAAAAACAUCAAAUUGGAGAAUGUGAUCGACCAAAAUAUGCAAAAAGGGACCUAUUCCUCAAGCUACCGCCGAGCAGUUGAAAAUCUCGACAGUUACCAUGAUUCUCCGGCGCAUGUUUCCGGCUUGAUUUCGGUGCGGAAGACGACCUUCUAUAUGCUUCUUGUGUGGCAAAGUGGGCAAAGUGGCUUUGGAAAAUAUCGGUCGGGUAGAGUGCAAAUUGUCGUCGCGGUAACCGAAGUUUCCCCGCACGCGAAAAUUGAUUUUUUCUCCCAAACCGUGCGUCAGGCAAAGUGCGCUGGAUAGAGGGCCAGAUCCGCUGCCCCGCGCACUGGCACUACGUCCGACGUUAGGUUUCACGUAUGGAUUUGAAAAAAAAACUCGAUUGUCGCGUGUGAGGAACUUCGGUUUCAGGGCUCAUUCAAAUAUUACGUAACGCAAAAUUUGACAAUUUUAGACCCCCUCCCUACCCCACGUAACAACUUUUGUAUGGAAAAUUUUGAAAUUUUGUAUGAAGCGUAACGCAUCGCUCGACCCCCUCCGUCCCCCCUUAGCGUUACGUAAUAUUUGAACGAACCCUCAACUGCGACGACAAUUUGCACUCUAGGGGAUUCUGGGGUAAUACGCACCACUUAAGGAAGAUGCGUCCAAAUGCAUAUAAAAAGGCAAUAAUUUAUUGAUUUAAUGCAUGCAAUCAUUGCAUAUACUUUCAUUCUAAGAGAAACCAAACAAAAUUUCAGCCUUAAUACAGUUCAGCUCUUGAAAAUAACGUUUUUUGUAAAGACUAACAUUACGGUUUCGUAUGUUUAUGCGGGGCAGUAUGCACCCUUGGUCGGGGUAAAAUGCACUACAACAAUGGAGCAGGAUGCACUCAAACAAAGGGGCAAGACGCACCACAACAUUGAGGCAAGAUGCACCGUCGAGUUUAGAAAUCUUUUUACUUCUUAUACAAAUUGCAUGUUUUUAAGAAUAAAUAAACAAAAUUACAAAAUUAUAAGGUUUUAAGACAAACAAUAGCUCAAUUUUGUUUGCGAUUACUUACAGAGCACUCAUAGAUAUUAUUACAGCUUGUUUUCUAUAGGUGCGUUUUGCCCCAACCAAUGGAGUGCAUAUUGCCCCAAUCAAUAGCAAAAAAUAAAAUAGUUUAAAAUAUAUAAUUUACGUAGAUUACUGUUUAAGUUAUUUUUCCUAUGCUUAGCAUUGCCCUCAAUAAACUGAAUAAACACAACAUCAUUAGAUGUUUGGUCGGUUUUCACCAUCAAAUCAUUCGACAAACGAUCGGGAAAAUUACAUCAGAAUCGUGCUUUUCGAUUUUAUUCAUUUUUCUCACUAAUUACGUAACGCAGAUAUGUAAAAUUUUCCAGAUGCUCAUUUAUUAAGACGUUCUAUAAGACUGAUAAGGUUUCAAAGCUCUAAAACCAAUAAUCCCUGAAAAACAAAGGGGGUGCGUUUUGCCUCGACAGUGCGUAUUACCCCAGAUGCCCCUACCCGAUAUUUUCCAAAGCCACUUGCAACACCAGAAGCAUAGAAGGUCGUCUUCCACCGAAACCAAUCCGGAAACAUGCGCCGGAGAAUCAUGGUAACUAUCAAGGCCAUUUUGAACUCACUGGCAGUUUUUGAAAAGAACAUCUGCUUUUAUGGAAAUUGAAAAGCUGCACCUCGAUUUCCCUGGAUUAUUUUGUGCUUUAUAUAGAGUAUCCCCUUCGCCAUAACCGCCCACCUGGAUCUAAACAUUUUCAGAAAAUGAUAUCCCUUAAUACAUUUUCUUCGAAAAUUGGAUAUUUAUUUUGUUAUAAUAAAUAUAAACAUGAAAUGAAAUACAUAUACAAAUCGAGGUUAUUUCAGUUUAUUGAGAAGCAACUUAGCGUCAGUUAUCCUUUUCUUUUUUAAAUUUAAUGACCGACGAUGCCUUCAAAAAUUCGUACGAGAACUUCGAAAAUGGAUUCGAUUUUUUUUUCUCGGAAGGAAUUCUUUCAGACUUUCUCUUGAUUAUUUUUCCAUGUAUUCUUUUGAGAUUGUUCAGGUAUUCCACCCGUGAUUCAUUCAGAAACUCCUGCAGAGAUUUCCUAACGGAUUUCUUAUGAAUUACUUCAAGGAUUCCAUCUGGAAUUUCUUAAGAGAUUCCUUCAUAUAUGUCUUCGAAAAAAAAUUCUGCGAAAAUUUCGUUUGAAAGAAUAGAUCGAAUUUUGGGGAAAUUCUCGAAUAACUGUUUCUUGAACUCCCAGGAUUCUGUAGGAAAUUCUUCCAGAUAUCCUCCAGGAUCCUUUUUAUCACUGAUUACGGUGAGUUUGUCCAGGAUUUCUCAAGGAGACCUUUCGAUAAUUCUUCCAGAAGUUCCUUAUGGGAUUUCUGCAGGAGUUUCAUCGGGAAUUCUUCAAGGAGUUCGACCAAGAAAUCUUUCAGGAAAUCCUCCGGUAGUUUCUGCAGGAGUUUCU